rnacentral:snRNA from 1 species
AUAUUUACCUGGCAGGGGAGAUACCAUGAUCAGGAAGGUGGUUUUCCCAGGGCACUCAGGAUGUGCUGACCCCUUGCACUCGGGAUGUGCUGACCCCUGAGAUUUCCUCAAAUGUGGGAAACUCGAGUGCAUGAUUUGUGGUAGUGGGGGACUGCGUUUGCGCUUUCCCCUG